rnacentral:lncRNA from 1 species
GCUCAACAGCUGCAAAAGUUAAAAAAUUGGCUAAGUCAGAAGAGUAGGUGAAGUAGCCCUGUUGACAGGCUUGGUAGGUGGACAAAAGGCUGACCAAAAAUCCCUUAAUUCGGGGGAUAAGAUCACUGAAGCAAUGUAUUUCAAGGGAGGAGAGAGAGGAGACGAGAGAGAGAGAGGAGAGAGCUCGGAAUCGUUCCCAGAAGAAGCCCUCAGAAGCAACUCCAAAAAAAACAAAAUCCAGAAAAUCCAGACUGACCUUGGGAGAGAAAAGUGAGAUUUUCAUAACCCUGCGGCUAAAAUUAGCCAAAGUCUUCAACUAGAGAGUGAAACAUCAUUCCAAGAUCUUUCCAUCCAUAGGUCGCACGUUCCAAAUGGAGAUCGGGAAGGCCUCCUAAAGCCCCCCGAAAGUACACCCUCCUGGCGGGCCAAGAAACACUGGAAAUUUUUCUAAGUGUUGAGCCCGAUUGGUCACGAGUGAGGGAAAGCCAGUGUUUUUGAGAAAUUUGAGAGACAAGAAUAAAUAUAGUUUGGGUUGGUGUCAAUUUUUCCAGCAAAAGACUUCUUGAAGUCUAAUUUUAGAGGUCAACGAAAACCUUCGUUGUCAGUUCUCCUUUUUUGCAGAUCUCAUUUCCAGUUGAAGAAGCCAACUUCCAUGUGCUUCCAGAGGACAAUUUCUCGGUUUCCUUGGCCAAGAACCACUUGAAAAAGAUACUAUGAAGCAAGGUAAGUAUCCUAGAUGUAUUUUUGUUCGAGUUUGAACAUGUUUUAAUAGUGAAAAAUUAAGAGGAAAACUAGUCCAAGAAACUGAUUUUGAGGCUGGAAUUUUUCUAAGUGUUGAAAUCUCUUCAAGAGUUUUGCAUGUGUGCUUUUUGAAGAGGUUGUUUUGAUGUGUUCGGUUGGUCAUUUUCUAUGAUGUUUGUUGCAUUUGAAAGCUCAUGUUACCUACUUUCAUUCGGAUCAAGUAAUGUUUCCCUUAGAUCUCGUAUGUGAUGGGUGUCGGGGCUUGAAUAUGGGCAUUCAACCUGUUUGCUUGACUUGGGUUCAAACCCAGAUUUGCAAAAUCAGAUCAAACCCACAUAUUUGAUGACGAUUCCAGCUUGGUUUUCGUGUGUUUUAAGCUGUGAUUUCUAUCUAAUCUUAUUGUUUGCAUGUGGUAGUUUAACCUUGAUGUUUUAGUUCCACAUAAUAUUGCUCAUGUGUUGACACUGAAGGCCGCGAACAUGACCCGAAGAAGCCAUUUUGGGGUGAUUUGAUGCAAGCCAAGUAUUCGAUAAAAUGUUGAAACCAAGCUUCAUUCUCGAAGCGGUCAAUCUGAGCUUAAUCGUUGUGAUAUUCAUGUGAUGUGUUACUCCAUGUUAGCAUAGAUCGGUUCAAGGAAUUAUUAUUAAUAUUUUUUUUUUGAAAAAAAAAAUAAAAAAAGAGAAAAAUCUGAAAAUUUCAAAAAUAUCAAAAAUGUUGGAUAACAUCAAAUUAGGAUAGAAAUGACAUAUAUGGAAUUUUCCUAAUUUUAAAAAUGUUAUUUUCCUAAUUUAAUGCUAUUUUGGUAUUUUAUAACAAUUUUUGUAAAUAAUCCAUUUUGCAUAGAUUAAAAUUAUCUAGAGUAAUUUCAUGCAUUUAGAGUAAUAUCAUGCAUAUUUAAAUUCCCAUUUCACUCACGGGGGUCCUGUCCCGGGGCGUGAUAACAAGGUCAUGUAAUAUUAUUUGCCCGACUUGUAUCGGGUUUUCCUUUUCCGUAUUUAUUUUCAAGUCAUUUUAAUUUCGUGGAUGUAUACUUAC